GGCGGCGCAGGCGCGCACCCCCCGGCCUCCCUCGCCCGUCAGUCUGCCGCCGGCCGUGGAGCGCCCUGCCUGUUCGGAGCGCCGAGUCGCGCGCCGCGAGUGUUCCCAACUCCAAGUGAUGACGACUUGUGACUAGUGCCAUGUUCGUGCUCCGCUGUGCCGUCGUCGCGGCCCUGCUCGCCUCCGCCGCCGCCGCCUGGCAGGAGAACGUCCGCCCCAAGGUCUUCGCGCAAUUAGGAGUCGAUGACACGCACAAGUUCCUGGGCAACGAAACACACACAGACUACUUCAGGCUACUGCUACGAGACGGCAAUUAUUUACUUGUCGGCGGCAGAAAUGUUGUGUACAACUUGAGUCUAACCGACUUGAACGAGCAGAGAAGGCUUGUGUGGUACUCAACAGAAUCUGACAUCGACAUGUGUGUCGUCAAAGGAAAAGAUGAGGAGAUAUGCCAGAACUACAUUCGCGUGCUGGUGUCCCUCGCUCCAGGGCGGCUGCUGGUCUGUGGCACCAACAGCUUCAAGCCCUUCUGCAGAGAGUACAGCGUGCAACGAGACUCCUAUCACAUGGAGAAGGAGAAAUCGGGCCAAGCGGUCUGUCCACAUGACCCUGAACAUAACUCUACGGCUGUAUAUGCUGAUGGGGAGCUAUACUCGGGUACCGUGGCGGACUUCAGUGGCAUGGAGCCAAUAAUUUACAGGGAGCCGUUGCAAACAGAGCCCUAUGACUCCAUGACGCUAAAUGCACCUGAUUUCGUGAAUUCAUUAGUGCACGGGAACUUCGUGUACUUCUUCUUUCGGGAGACCGCCAUCGAAUACAUCAACUGUGGAAAGGCGGUAUUCUCUCGAGUGGCCCGCGUAUGCCGUGAUGAUCGCGGCGGACCACACCGGUUCAAGCAACGCUGGACUUCGUUUCUCAAGUCCCGCCUCAACUGCUCCGUUGCAGGAGACUUUCCUUUCUACUUUAACGAGAUUCAGUCAACAACAGAAUUGAUUGAAGGCGUGUACGGUGGCCUCAACGCCCAGUUAAUCUACGGAACUUUCACUACACCCCCUAACAGCAUAUCAGGGAGUGCUGUCUGUGCGUUCAGCAUGCAGGAUAUUGCUGAUACAUUCGAAGGCACUUUCAAGGAACAGAGCGCGAUAAACUCCAAUUGGCUUCCUGUAAAUAGUGCAAAGGUUCCAGAACCUCGCCCCGGCACUUGUCACAAUGACUCGAGACAACUACCAGAUCAAACGUUAAAUUUUAUCAAAACCCAUGCAUUGAUGGAUGAAUCGGUGCCGGCCUUCUUUGGGGAGCCAAUCGUCAUCAGAACUAGUUUUCACUACAGAUUCACGCAAAUCGCGGUAGAUCCACAAGUGAAAACACCCGGUGGCAAGGCUUAUGAUGUGCUGUUUAUUGGAACAGAUAACGGCAAAAUCAUCAAAGCAAUCAACGCAGUUUCCUAUGACUCAAACAAACGUGCAGUACCAGUGGUUAUAGAAGAGCUACAAGCUUUUGCCGCGGGGUCGCCUGUCCGGGCCUUGAGAGUGGCGAGAGCUGGCCGAGACGCCGCGAGACUGAUCGCAGUGUCGGAUAGAGAAGUGCUGAGUCUGAGACUACAUCGGUGUUCCAGCGAAAAAAUUAGUUCUUGCUCGGAAUGCGUAGCUCUCCAAGACCCAUACUGUGCGUGGGACAAGCAGGCCGGUCGAUGCCGUGCCUACUCGCACGGAGUGAGCCGCUGGCUCGACGAGAACUCCUUCUACCAGAGCGUCAGCACUGGGAGCCAUGCAGCUUGCCCUCAUAGUAAAGAUGCAGGAGCAGUUGGGGGCCUCAGCUCUGGUCUAUAUGAUGACGCGCGAGGCGAGAACAAAGGAGAGGUCAUCAACAUCGUGCAGGAUAAAGAUGGGAAAGGGAACAACAAUAAUAAUGAAGGACCAGAAGUCCUAGCAGCUGACCCGCCGCCAGCGGCGUACUCCGUAGAAACCUUAGCGCUAGCGGUCGCAGCGGGAGCUCUAGCUGCUCUGGGCGCCGGUUUCGCAGCGGGUUACAUCUGCGGGCGACGCUGCAAGAAGGAUGAUGACGACAACAUGCCCUACCCUGACACUGAGUACGAGUACUUCGAGCAACGACAGAACAUCAACAGGAUCCAAGCGGAACCCAAGCUCCUCCAACAAGUGGAGGAAGUGACGUACGCAGAGCCCGUGCUGGCCCCGCAACCCAAGCCCGCCUCCCCCCGCGCCACGCUGCGCAAGCACCCCCCCUACCACCCGCACCACGAGACGCUGUUCCAGUUCCAACCGGAUUCUUACCGUCGGGACAAUUUCGGCACGCUACGCUCGCACCAGGUCAAUGGUGAUGGGUACCGGCGCGGGAACGACAAUGGCUUCUCGACCACGCGCUCAGUGAAAAAAGUGUACCUCUGAGAAACAAGCGGGGCGGACGCGCGCGACCAAAUACAUCAUCAUAAACCUAAUACGCACCACCACCACACGUUGGUGUCGCAGCGCAGCAGCGGGUCGGGCUCGGCGUCCGCGAGCGGGUCUUCAUCGUCGCCGUCGCCGCCCUCGUCCUCGCCGUCGCCGUCGGGCGAGCGCCCGCCCACGCCGCCGCCGCCGGCGCCGCAGCCCUGCGCGUACAUCUACCGCAACUAGCGCGCUCGCCCCGCCGCCCGCCCCACUGACCCCGCCAGCCCACUGGAACGUUCAAACGAACCACAGAGUUCUGACGCGUUCUGUACGAAUCGAGGAGUUUCCCCGAAUGUGUGAUACGAACAUUACAAAAAGACAUUCCAGAAUGGUGCGUGAUCGUUAUUCGAACUGUGAAGGAUGGGUCACAUUGUUAUUGUACCGAUUGAUAGUGAUUAGUAUUAGUUCGCUGAAUUGACUGAUGGUACGCGAACAAUGAAUAAAACCCAGCUAAGGCACUGGGAACGAGAAAAACAUUCCGGUUACUGCAACGUUUACUAAAUAUGGUUUUACUCCCUGAAUAUAAGAAUUAAGCAAGUUGUUGCUAACAAUUUAAAACAAAAAAGUUACACAAUGACCUAUCGACCGUCCGUAAGAUGUAGUGAUAAAUAAACCGGUGCCAUGAGUCAGUUCAGCGUCAACGAUUAACACUUGUUGGAAGAUGUAACGUUACAAUGCAUCGUACAAGUGAGUUGCCUAUAAAAUUAGAAACUUAGAGCCUAUUUUUACAAAUUCAAAAAAAAUUUGAAAGAUAGGCUGAGAAAUAUAGCGUGUUAUUCGUGUAAUUUGUUACUACUUGGAUUGUAUACAAAGUCACCGUUUUCGUGACGGAAACAUUCUUCCAUGCAAAACAAAAUAAUAUACGUACUCAUGAUUAUCCAGAAUUAAAACAAAGUUGACGGUAUGUAUAUCGGAGGAGGUGACAAAAAUAUUUUUUUUAAAAGACGAUACAAUAUCGAUUCGUGUAUGUAUGAUGGUGGAAAAAACUGUAACAAAUUUGUAGAUUGUUUAGAAUAUACAUAGUUUACUUAUAUUUUAGGUAAAAAUAUAAGUUUUGUUGGUAACAUGUUGAUGACUAGUUAGUGUGAACUUGUGAAUGGCAUUGCAGAUUUUCUUUGAGGUUCGCACUGCGAUAAAUUGAGCGUUGUGAUUGAAAAAAAUCAUGCAAUGAAUUCACAAAUCGCUUUUUACUACUAUUAGUAGCACGAGAUUAAGUAUGAUAAGAAUUUCUAAAACUGAAAUUAAUAUCCAGUAUAAAUCGACAACAUUGUGCCAAGACUGUACUUAAUUUGCUUGUAUUCAUCUUUUCAUAGGUGUUUACAGCCUUAUGUUACUGCAUGUUUACAUUAAGAUUGUGACUGGUAAAAAAAUCACUGGCGCACCAAUAUUAGAGUGAUUUUGCACUAUUUAAACAUGUUUUUGGGUCACUGCCUGUAAUAAAACGUUUCUGGUAAUUUAUUUCCAGUAAAAAGAAACAAGCAAUUAUUUUUUUAUUUCGUAAAAUCUAUAAAGAUAUAUUUGCUGUGCUUGUAUGUAUAGGUAAACUUAAGUACUAUAUUCUUUUCACUUUUACAUGUUUUAAUUUAAUCAUUUUAAUUCAUAGUUUGAAUAUGAAUUUGCCGUUAAUUUAGUUUAAAACUUCAAAAUGUUGUCGAAUUGUAUUAAGGAAAUCGUUUAACAUUAAAGAUGUAAACGGUGCAGAGAAAAAUAUGGAUAUAAAUUAUAUUUACCCUGUAUAAAAUAAUAAUUAUGUAAAUCCUGAUACUCAUUCAUUGAUUAAAGUGCUUCUUAUGGGUGUAUCUAGAUUAUUAGGGGAUCGUUUUGAUAAUUAUCCGAUAAUGUUAUAGAAUUAGUGAUUAUGUAUACAUAGGUAGAUACUAGAGCGUAAGCGCAUUAAGGUGCGAUAUUGCCAAUUUAGAGUGUUGGUGCGCCAUUUGUAAAAUACUGUGAUCUGAUUGAUCAUUGUGUAAAUACAUUUUGAGAUAAGGAUAAGAAUACACGAGAAUAUUUAACCACUCUUAGACUUCAAUACAAAAAAUAUUCAGUGUAUCCUUGUCUUUAUAUGAUUCUUUUAGUCAACGGUUGAUUCUAAAUUAAAAAUCCAGACAUGUGGGCCAAACUUUGAAAAUUCUGUUCGAUAACGUUCCUGUUGCUAAUUUAUAAAUGAUCUUAAUUAAACGCUUCAACUAGCUAGCAAGUUGUUUCCAAACAGAAAGGUUUAUACUCAUUUUUCAAUAAUAAUUGUUGACAAUUUAAUGUGUGUAAAGAAAAUGUCAAUUCUAUUUGUAAUGAUCUAGUGCCUAAGUGUGUGUGGCAGGAUUGUAAUGUUCGUUGUCUUGACCACUCUGGCUUAGAAAUUUGAGAAAGUACUUACCUACGCAUCGAUUAAUACAAUUUAUUCCCAUCAAUUUACUAAAACGAUACUAUUUUUGCGUAAAAACAUCUGUGAACAAAAAAAUCUCAAAGAAUGUCAGUACACGAUCUAACUAGAUUUAUCCCUGACUUAAUAAUAGCAGCAAAUAUCAAGCAAUAAAUAAAUAAAAAUUACUUUUAAAACAAAAUGUAUAGUUGUUACAGACGCACGCAAGUAGGUAAGUACUUGCUCAAGUUACUAAACGUGUGUAAAUGGUACACUGUUGAAGCUGGGUCAAAUUUUCGUUUGGACUGUCGUUUCAAGAGGACAUUAGAGUAGUUACAAUAGAUGGAAAGUUUCAAUGAAACGCAAAGUUAACUUUUUAUUACACUCGAAGGCAUUCUGAAAUUGCCUUGUUAAUAGGUACUCAAGUUUAUUUCACAAUUAAUAUACCAAAGAUGCCAUGAACUUUUAAAGUAAUAUAUUAAUUUAUUUAUAGAAGUAAUUAAUUAAACGUAUUACCUAAUUAGUGAAAAUGUAAUAUUGUUAUUUUUAAUAAACGUAACUGCCAACUUUCGUAUAUUAUAUUUUGAUAAUAAAAACGCACACAUAUUUGUUUGUUUCUAAAUAAUGAAUCAUUUAAUAAUGUAGGCGCUUUUAUAUUCGGACGAAUGUUAAGUAGGUACAGUAUGUAUUUAUUAUUUGAAUGAUUAAUUAUAAUAGAACUUUGAAAUCGGCAACUUAUGCCCUAGGGCACGGUCUAGGGUGAACAGGAGAGGUCAAGGAGGGAGAAAAAAUACACGGUUUUAGAGCUGUAACUAAGUAAAUCGAUAACUAUCCAUUUCGACCAUUUAUAUUGACGCUAGUCUUAGAAUUAAAAAAAUUGAAUCGAGAAAUUAUUGUAUGGAAAAAUUGGAGAACCAGUAGUAAUACCCCGCCGCCGCGCCGCCGCCGCGCCACGUCGCGUCCCACUACUAAUGUCUCACAGAUUCGAGUUUAUGUCAUUUAAUUUUUUUAUCAAAAAAAAGUGAUCAAGUGCGAGUCGGACUCGCAUGCGAAAGGUUCCGUACCAUCGUACAAGACUUACUGAACAACUUAAUGUAGAACUCUGCAAGUUAAUAACCGUCUGCGCCAUCUGUAUGCGAUUUAGUGAAUUAAACUUUUUGGUAACACAUUUUUUUACCCGACUACGGCAAAGCCGAAAGGAAGGGUUAU